AUUGAACGCUGGCGGCAUGCCUUACACAUGCAAGUCGAACGGCAGCGCGGACUUCGGUCUGGCGGCGAGUGGCGAACGGGUGAGUAACAUAUCGGAACGUGCCCUGGAGUGGGGGAUAACUAGUCGAAAGACUAGCUAAUACCGCAUACGAUCUAUGGAUGAAAGUGGGGGAUCGCAAGACCUCAUGCUCGUGGAGCGGCCGAUAUCUGAUUAGCCAGUUGGUGGGGUAAAGGCCUACCAAGGCAUCGAUCAGUAGCUGGUCUGAGAGGACGACCAGCCAGACUGGGACUGAGACACGGCCAAGACUCCUACGGGAGGCAGCAGUGGGGAAUUUUGGACAAUGGGCGCAAGCCUGAUCCAGCAAUGCCGCGUGCAGGAAGAAGGCCUUCGGGUUGUAAACUGCUUUUGUACGGAGCGAAACGGUCUGGGUUAAUACCUCGGGCUAAUGACGGUACCGUAAGAAUAAGCACCGGCUAACUACGUGCCAGCCGCCGCCGUAAAAC
rnacentral:rRNA from 1 species